UGGGGAAUAUUGGGGCAAUGGGGCGCAAGCCUGACCCAGCAACGCCGCGUGAGGGAAGAAGGUUUUCGGAUUGUAAACCUCUAUCGUAGAGGACGAACACAAUGACGGUACUCUACAAGGAAGCCCCGGCUAACUACGUGCCAGCAGCCGCGGUAAUACGUAGGGGGCAAGCGUUGUCCGGAAUGACUGGGCGUAAAGGGCGUGUAGGCGGCCAUUUAAGUUAGGAGUGAAAGUCCUGCUUUCAAGGUGGGAAUUGCUUUUAAUUACUGGAUGGCUUGAGUGCGGAAGAGGUAAGUGGAAUUCCCAGUGUAGCGGUGAAAUGCGUAGAGAUUGGGAGGAACACCAGUGGCGAAGGCGACUUACUGGGGCCGCAACUGACGCUGAGGCGCGAAAG
rnacentral:rRNA from 1 species